CCCUUAGACGUUCUGGGCCGCACGCGCGCUACACUGACCAGUGCAACAAGCAUCCGUCCUUGGCCGACAGGCUCGGGCAAUCUUUGAACGCUGGUCGUGAUGGGGAUAGACUUUUGCAAUUUUUGGUCUUCAACGAGGAAUUCCUAGUAAACGCAAGUCAUCAACUUGCAUUGAUUACGUCCCUGCCCUUUGUACACACCGCCCGUCGCACCUACCGAUUGAAUGGUCCGGUGAAGCCUCCGGAUUGGCGCGCACCUCGGUGCCGCCGAGAAGUGGGCUAAACCUUACCAUUUAGAGGAAGGUGAAGUCGUAACA
rnacentral:rRNA from 1 species